GAACAAAAGAGCUUGAUCCUGGCUCAGGACGAACGCUGGCGGCGUGCCUAACACAUGCAAGUCGAGCGGGGACACGGGGCUUCGGCCCUGUGUUCUAGCGGCGGACGGGUGAGUAACGCGUGAACAAUCUGUCCCAGACAGGGGGAUAACAACUGGAAACAGUUGCUAAUACCGCAUAAGACCACGGCCUCGCAUGGGGCUGGGGUAAAAGUGGAAACACGGUUUGGGGUGAGUUCGCGUCCCAUUAGCUAGUUGGUGAGGUAACGGCCCACCAAGGCGACGAUGGGUAGCCGAGCUGAGAGGCUGAUCGGCCACACUGGGACUGAGAUACGGC
rnacentral:rRNA from 1 species